UGCGUAGGUGGCCAUGUAAGCGCGGGGUGAAAGGCGAUAGCUUAACUAUUGUAAGCCUUGCGAACUGUGUGGCUUGAGUGCAGGAGAGGAAAGUGGAAUUCCUAGUGUAGCGGUGAAAUGCGUAGAUAUUAGGAGGAACACCAGUGGCGAAGGCGACUUUCUGGACUGUAACUGACACUGAGGCACGAAAGCGUGGGGAGCAAACAG
rnacentral:rRNA from 1 species